UUAAGCGACUAAGCGUACACGGUGGAUGCCCUGGCAGUCAGAGGCGAUGAAGGACGUGCUAAUCUGCGAUAAGCGUCGGUAAGGUGAUAUGAACCGUUAUAACCGGCGAUUUCCGAAUGGGGAAACCCAGUGUGAUUCGUCACACUAUCAUUAACUGAAUCCAUAGGUUAAUGAGGCGAACCGGGGGAACUGAAACAUCUAAGUACCCCGAGGAAAAGAAAUCAACCGAGAUUCCCCCAGUAGCGGCGAGCGAACGGGGAGGAGCCCAGAGCCUGAAUCAGUGUGUGUGUUAGUGGAAGCGUCUGGAAAGGCGCGCGAUACAGGGUGACAGCCCCGUACACAAAAAUGCACAUGCUGUGAGCUCGAUGAGUAGGGCGGGACACGUGGUAUCCUGUCUGAAUAUGGGGGGACCAUCCUCCAAGGCUAAAUACUCCUGACUGACCGAUAGUGAACCAGUACCGUGAGGGAAAGGCGAAAAGAACCCCGGCGAGGGGAGUGAAAAAGAACCUGAAACCGUGUACGUACAAGCAGUGGGAGC
rnacentral:rRNA from 48 species